UCAGACCGGGAAGCCCUGCCCAAUGAAUUCUAAAUGGCCGCGGUAUCCUGACCGUGCAAAGGUAGCAUAAUAAUUUGCCCGUUAAUUGCGGGCUAGCAUGAACGGGUUUACGAAAUAGUAACUGUCUCAAUAAAAAAAAAAAAAAUUAUCCUUUAGAUGAAGAGAUUUAAAUAUAAAUGUAGGACAAGAAGACCCUAUAGAGCUUUACCAUAAUAUAUAUUAGAUAUUUUAUUGGUUUGGUUGGGGCGACUAAGGAAUUAAUCAUCCUAAUAAAUAUAGAUUAACAAAUCGUUAUUAUGACCCUAUAAAGAUCAAAGAAUUAAGCUACCUUAGGGAUAACAGGCUAAUCCUUUCGGAGAGACCUUAUUAAUGAAAGGGUUUGGCACCUCGAUGUUGGCUUAGGAAUUCAUUAUGAUGCAGAAGUCAUAAAGGAGGGUUUGUUCAACCCAUAAUAUCCUAC
rnacentral:rRNA from 1 species